ACAGGUGGGGGUUGGGGAGGCUGCCACACUCACCCUGGCGCUCACACUCACGCACACGCGCACGCACUCGCGCCGGCCCUAAGCCUCCUAACCGCCCUCGGCCAGUGGCUGGCCAGGCUGUCGGUCACCCAGCCCGGCUGGUUCGCCGCCCCCCUUGCCGCAGGUCCCACUGAAACCCCCGAGACCCGCCCCGGGGCGCUCGCCGCCUCCCUGCCUGCCCUGCGCUUGCGGGUUCGGGUCCUGGCGCGGGGUCUGCCAGGGUCUCUGCGACCCGGGGGAGGGGGACGGUGGGAUCCUCCGGUUCCCCAACUGGGAUCCCUGUGCGGGUCACACGCGCUCUUACACACACCCGCAUCCUUAAACUUUGGGACCAACUUUUUAGGACACGGGAAACUACAGGCAAGAGAGAGAAGCCAUGGUGCUAGUGUGGGUUCAGGUAUUCAACCAAAAAAGAGAUCCCUCUAGCUUUUCAACUGCCCUGCCAGCAGAGACUGCUGGACCCAGUCAAUCAUCUGCCCCGGCCUCAAGUUCCUGGCAGGGCCGAGAAGCCUGCGGACCUACUCCGGGGCCAGGAGAUAAGGAUCCCCGCCGGGCGCGGACAUGCCCUGCGUCCUGGCGCCCGCGGGGGCGUGAGAGAACUCGGAAUUCGCAGCCCGGGGGUAGCUGCGGCCUCCGGAGGUCGCCCGGGGGUGCGGAUGGAGUGACUUCUGUCCCGGCGAGGUGGCGGACAGAAAGACUCCCAUACCACAGGAAGGCUGCCCUUCCCAAAUACUCCUCAAAUCAGGCUGCUGAGUAGUCUCCCCAGCAGUUUGUUUUCCUCUUUAGUGAUGUAUAAUUUUGUUCAUCUUUGGUCACAGGAGAGAUUCCAAGAAAUGAGGGGGGUACGUUGAAACGAUGAAGAAAGGAUGGACACAGCAGUCGAGGUUGAGAGGAUUCCAGGUGUCACCACAGCAGCUGAGAAAGGAAAGAACUUGGAAUUUAGCAUACGUCAGGUUUUAGAUGUGGAAAAGCCCCAAAAGAAGGAGUAGUACCUGUGGGCACAGAGGGCAAUAUGGAGAGAAUAGACAUUAUUCUAAUUCAGGAAAAGGAAAAAUAAUUUGAACCUUCAAAGUAGCCAAGGCUGCCAGUUUCCAGGAUGCUCCCUCUGCAUCUUCCCGGCUGGUGUUUCACCUGGUCUAGUUCCUGUGUCCCAGACUGGAGAAGUUCAAGGCAGAGAUCAUCUCUCUCCUAUCCAACCUUUGAAACCUCAAUACCAAAAACCAUGAACCAUGCCUUGUGUGGAGUGUGCACCAUACACAGUUGUUGAGUGAAUUGAUGAAGUGUGACAUGAAAUUGUUGAAUAAAUGGAUGAAG
rnacentral:lncRNA from 1 species